AAUGAACGCUGGCGGCAUGCCUAACACAUGCAAGUCGAACGAAGGCUUCGGCCUUAGUGGCGCACGGGUGCGUAACGCGUGGGAAUCUGCCCUUGGGUUCGGAAUAACAGUUAGAAAUGACUGCUAAUACCGGAUGAUGUCGUGAGACCAAAGAUUUAUCGCCCAAGGAUGAGCCCGCGUAGGGUUAGGUAGUUGGUGAGGUAAAGGCUCACCAAGCCUGCGAUCCUUAGCUGGUCUGAGAGGAUGAUCAGCCACACUGGGACUGAGACACGGCCCAGACUCCUACGGGAGGCAGCAGUAGGGAAUAUUGGACAAUGGGGGCAACCCUGAUCCAGCAAUGCCGCGUGAGCGAUGAAGGCCUUAGGGUUGUAAAGCUCUUUUACCCGGGAUGAUAAUGACAGUACCGGGAGAAUAAGCCCCGGCUAACUCCGUGCCAGCCGCCGCCGUAAUAC
rnacentral:rRNA from 1 species